CUUGCAACUUGGAUGUGCAGAUGGCACUAAUCGCUCGUCUUCAACAUCCAUAUAUUGUUGAGUUCAAGGAAGCAUGGGUAGAGAAGGGCUGCUAUGUUUGCAUUGUUACCGGCUAUUGCGAAGGUGGUGAUAUGGCUGAACUGAUGAAAAAAGCAAAUGGGCAAUAUUUUCCAGAAGAGAAACUUCUGAAGUGGUUCACUCAAAUUUUGUUGGCA